rfam:Brassica napus, WGS project CCCW01000000 data, contig: 24491
GUCGAUGAAGAUGUAAUCUAACUGAAUGAGGUGCAGUGGAGCUGAGACCCUGUUUACAGGGAGAACCCCUUGGCAUAAGCUGCAAUUUCUUUGAAUUCUACGGAUUUUACUGAGAC